rnacentral:rRNA from 1 species
GGUACGCGAGCUGGGUUCAGAACGUCGUGAGACAGUUCGGUCCCUAUCCGUCGUGGGCGCAGGAAAUUUGAGAGGAUCUGUCCUUAGUACGAGAGGACCGGGAUGGACAUACCUCUGGUGUACCAGUUGUUCUGCCAAGAGCACCGCUGGGUAGCUACGUAUGGAUUAGAUAAUCGCUGAAAGCAUCUAAGUGAGAAACUAACCUCGAGAUGAGAUUUCCCAUUCGUCAGAAGUAAGACCCCUGAGAGACGAUCAGGUAGAUAGGCUAGAAGUGGAAGUGUAGUGAUGCAUGGAGCGGACUAGUACUAAUAGGUCGAGGACUUAACCAAG